CUUUAGACCAUCCACAUUGCA
rnacentral:siRNA from 1 species